UUCACCCCAGACACAGAAUAAGACAGCGCAUGCAACUGAGGACCAGGUCUGGAAGCACAAAGUAGAAAGACACUGAGCGGGCGAGGGAGCCUAAAGUGAACCCAGCUGUGUGGCCCUGGAGCUGGCAACUUCUCUGAGCCUCUGUUUUCUUCCACUGUAAAAUGGAGAGUCUCUUCGGUCUUGUGAGGACACAGCAUUGGCUUCUAGGCAACUGGAACUCAGUCUGGCAUGUGGUAGGUCUGUGGUGCUAGAAGCAUGUGUAUCUAAGUGCUGGGCCCACUCAAGGAUCAAGACACCACACACACACAUGCACACACACACACACACACACACGCAUACACACACACAGAGGCACACACGCUCACUCACACACACACAGGCACACACAGAUAUAUUCACCAAGGCACGAAUACAGGCUCUCACACACACUGUACUGACAUAGCCUCAGUCUGCUAUGUUCCCCACAUGUUCCCCACGUGUUCCCCACAUGUUCCCCACAUGUUCUCCACAUGUUCAUGCUUUGUCCUCUAGCUAGUGGUGCUGUUUUGGAGGCCAAGGAAACUUUAGAAUGUAGACCCUCACUUUUGGAAGUAGUCGCUUGGGGCAGAUCUUUGAAUAUUACAGCCUGGGGGCUGGAGAGAUGACUCAGUGGUUAAAGGCACUGGCUGCUCAUCCAGAGCAACUCAGUUCUGAGCACCCCUCCAACUCAGUUCUCAGCACCGCACAUGGCAGCUCACAACUCUCUAUAGCCCAAGUUUCAAGGGAUCCAGUGUGUUCUUCUGGUCUCUGUGGGCAC
rnacentral:lncRNA from 1 species